GGAAUAUUGGACAAUGGGCGCAAGCCUGAUCCAGCCAUGCCGCGUGAGUGAAGAAGGCCCUCGGGUUGUAAAGCUCUUUUGUCCGGAAAGAAAAGCUUUCGGUUAAUACCCGGACGUCAUUACGGUACCGGAAGAAUAAGCACCGGCUAACUUCGUGCCAGCAGCCGCGGUAAUACGAAGGGUGCAAGCGUUACUCGGAAUUACUGGGCGUAAAGCGUGCGUAGGUGGUUCGUUAAGUCUGAUGUGAAAGCCCUGGGCUCAACCUGGGAACUGCAUUGGAUACUGGAAGUCUAGAGUGCGGUAGAGGGUAGCGGAAUUCCCGGUGUAGCAGUGAAAUGCGUAGAUAUCGGGAGGAACAUCCGUGGCGAAGGCGGCUACCUGGACCAGCACUGACACUGAGGCACGAAAGCGUGGGGAGCAAA
rnacentral:rRNA from 1 species